rnacentral:rRNA from 1 species
AGAGUUUGAUCCUGGCUCAGGACGAACGCUGGCGGCGUGCUUAACACAUGCAAGUCGAACGAAAAGACGGAAAGAGCUUGCUCUUUUCAGAAUUGAGUGGCAAACGGGUGAGUAACACGUAAACAACCUGCCUUCAGGAUGGGGACAACAGACGGAAACGACUGCUAAUACCGAAUAAGUUCCAAGGGCCGCAUGGCCCAUGGAAGAAAAGGUGGCCUCUACCUGUAAGCUAUCGCCUGAAGAGGGGUUUGCGUCUGAUUAGCUGGUUGGAGGGGUAACGGCCCACCAAGGCGACGAUCAGUAGCCGGUCUGAGAGGAUGAACGGCCACACUGGAACUGAGACACGGUCCAGACUCCUACGGGAGGCAGCAGUGGGGAAUCUUCCGCAAUGGGCGAAAGCCUGACGGAGCAACGCCGCGUGAGUGAUGACGGCCUUCGGGUUGUAAAACUCUGUGAUCCGGGACGAAAAGGCAGAGUGCGAAGAACAAACUGCAUUGACGGUACCGGAAAAGCAAGCCACGGCUAACUACGUGCCAGCAGCCGCGGUAAUACGUAGGUGGCAAGCGUUGUCCGGAAUUAUUGGGCGUAAAGCGCGCGCAGGCGGCUUCCCAAGUCCCUCUUAAAAGUGCGGGGCUUAACCCCGUGAUGGGAAGGAAACUGGGAAGCUGGAGUAUCGGAGAGGAAAGUGGAAUUCCUAGUGUAGCGGUGAAAUGCGUAGAGAUUAGGAAGAACACCGGUGGCGAAGGCGACUUUCUGGACGAAAACUGACGCUGAGGCGCGAAAGCGUGGGGAGCAAACAGGAUUAGAUACCCUGGUAGUCCACGCCGUAAACGAUG